rnacentral:rRNA from 1 species
AUUGAACGCUGGCGGCAGGCCUAACACAUGCAAGUCGAGCGGAUGAAGGGAGCUUGCUCCUGGAUUCAGCGGCGGACGGGUGAGUAAUGCCUAGGAAUCUGCCUGGUAGUGGGGGAUAACAUCCGGAAACGGGCGCUAAUACCGCAUACGUCCUGAGGGAGAAAGUGGGGGAUCUUCGGACCUCACGCUAUCAGAUGAGCCUAGGUCGGAUUAGCUAGUUGGUGGGGUAAAGGCCUACCAAGGCGACGAUCCGUAACUGGUCUGAGAGGAUGAUCAGUCACACUGGAACUGAGACACGGUCCAGACUCCUACGGGAGGCAGCAGUGGGGAAUAUUGGACAAUGGGCGAAAGCCUGAUCCAGCCGUGCCGCGUGUGUGAAGAAGGUCUUCGGAUUGUAAAGCACUUUAAGUUGGGAGGAAGGGCAGUAAGUUAAUACCUUGCUGUUUUGACGUUACCAACAGAAUAAGCACCGGCUAACUUCGUG